rnacentral:rRNA from 1 species
CCGAAUGGGGAAACCCAGUGUGAUUCGUCACACUAUCAUUAACUGAAUCCAUAGGUUAAUGAGGCGAACCGGGGGAACUGAAACAUCUAAGUACCCCGAGGAAAAGAAAUCAACCGAGAUUCCCCCAGUAGCGGCGAGCGAACGGGGAGGAGCCCAGAGCCUGAAUCAGCAUGUGUGUUAGUGGAAGCGUCUGGAAAGGCGCGCGAUACAGGGUGACAGCCCCGUACACAAAAGCGCAUGUGCUGUGAGCUCGAUGAGUAGGGCGGGACACGUGGUAUCCUGUCUGAAUAUGGGGGGACCAUCCUCCAAGGCUAAAUACUCCUGACUGACCGAUAGUGAACCAGUACCGUGAGGGAAAGGCGAAAAGAACCCCGGCGAGGGGAGUGAAAAAGAACCUGAAACCGUGUACGUACAAGCAGUGGGAGNNNNNNNNNNNNNNNNNNNNNNNNNNNNNNNNNNNNNNNNNNGGGCGUUAAGUUGCAGGGUAUAGACCCGAAACCCGGUGAUCUAGCCAUGGGCAGGUUGAAGGUUGGGUAACACUAACUGGAGGACCGAACCGACUAAUGUUGAAAAAUUAGCGGAUGACCUGUGGCUGGGGGUGAAAGGCCAAUCAAACCGGGAGAUAGCUGGUUCUCCCCGAAAGCUAUUUAGGUAGCGCCUCGUGAAUUCAUCUCCGGGGGUAGAGCACUGUUUCGGCUAGGGGGCCAUCCCGGCUUACCAACCCGAUGCAAACUGCGAAUACCGGAGAAUGUUAUCACGGGAGACACACGGCGGGUGCUAACGUCCGUCGUGAAGAGGGAAACAACCCAGACCGCCAGCUAAGGUCCCAAAGUCAUGGUUAAGUGGGAAACGAUGUGGGAAGGCCCAGACAGCCAGGAUGUUGGCUUAGAAGCAGCCAUCAUUUAAAGAAAGCGUAAUAGCUCACUGGUCGAGUCGGCCUGCGCGGAAGAUGUAACGGGGCUAAACCAUGCACCGAAGCUGCGGCAGCGANNUGCUGGAGGUAUCAGAAGUGCGAAUGCUGACAUAAGUAACGAUAAAGCGGGUGAAAAGCCCGCUCGCCGGAAGACCAAGGGUUCCUGUCCAACGUUAAUCGGGGCAGGGUGAGUCGACCCCUAAGGCGAGGCCGAAAGGCGUAGUCGAUGGGAAACGGGUUAAUAUUCCCGUACUUGGUGUUACUGCGAAGGGGGGACGGAGAAGGCUAUGUUGGCCGGGCGACGGUUGUCCCGGUUUAAGCGUGUAGGUGUGUGUUCCAGGUAAAUCCGGUUCACUUUAACACUGAGGCGUGACGACGAGGCACUACGGUGCUGAAGCAACAAAUGCCCUGCUUCCAGGAAAAGCCUCUAAGCAUCAGGUAACACGAAAUCGUACCCCAAACCGACACAGGUGGUCAGGUAGAGAAUACCAAGGCGCUUGAGAGAACUCGGGUGAAGGAACUAGGCAAAAUGGUGCCGUAACUUCGGGAGAAGGCACGCUGACACGUAGGUGAAGUGAUUUACUCAUGGAGCUGAAGUCAGUCGAAGAUACCAGCUGGCUGCAACUGUUUAUUAAAAACACAGCACUGUGCAAACACGAAAGUGGACGUAUACGGUGUGACGCCUGCCCGGUGCCGGAAGGUUAAUUGAUGGGGUCAGCGCAAGCGAAGCUCCUGAUCGAAGCCCCGGUAAACGGCGGCCGUAACUAUAACGGUCCUAAGGUAGCGAAAUUCCUUGUCGGGUAAGUUCCGACCUGCACGAAUGGCGUAAUGAUGGCCAGGCUGUCUCCACCCGAGACUCAGUGAAAUUGAACUCGCUGUGAAGAUGCAGUGUACCCGCGGCAAGACGGAAAGACCCCGUGAACCUUUACUAUAGCUUGACACUGAACAUUGAGCCUUGAUGUGUAGGAUAGGUGGGAGGCUUUGAAGUGUGGACGCCAGUCUGCAUGGAGCCGACCUUGAAAUACCACCCUUUAAUGUUUGAUGUUCUAACGUGGACCCGUAAUCCGGGUUGCGGACAGUGUCUGGUGGGUAGUUUGACUGGGGCGGUCUCCUCCUAAAGAGUAACGGAGGAGCACGAAGGUUGGCUAAUCCUGGUCGGACAUCAGGAGGUUAGUGCAAUGGCAUAAGCCAGCUUGACUGCGAGCGUGACGGCGCGAGCAGGUGCGAAAGCAGGUCAUAGUGAUCCGGUGGUUCUGAAUGGAAGGGCCAUCGCUCAACGGAUAAAAGGUACUCCGGGGAUAACAGGCUGAUACCGCCCAAGAGUUCAUAUCGACGGCGGUGUUUGGCACCUCGAUGUCGGCUCAUCACAUCCUGGGGCUGAAGUAGGUCCCAAGGGUAUGGCUGUUCGCCAUUUAAAGUGGUACGCGAGCUGGGUUUAGAACGUCGUGAGACAGUUCGGUCCCUAUCUGCCGUGGGCGCUGGAGAACUGAGGGGGGCUGCUCCUAGUACGAGAGGACCGGAGUGGACGCAUCACUGGUGUUCGGGUUGUCAUGCCAAUGGCACUGCCCGGUAGCUAAAUGCGGAAGAGAUAAGUGCUGAAAGCAUCUAAGCACGAAACUUGCCCCGAGAUGAGUUCUCCCUGAGACUUAGAGUCUCCUGAAGGAACGUUGAAGACGACGACGUUGAUAGGCCGGGUGUGUAAGCGCAGCGAUGCGUUGAGCUAACCGGUACUAAUGAACCGUGAGGCUUAACCUUACAACGCCGAA